rnacentral:rRNA from 1 species
CGUAGGGUGCGAGCGUUAAUCGGAAUUACUGGGCGUAAAGCGUGCGCAGGCGGUUUUGUAAGUCAGAUGUGAAAUCCCCGAGCUCAACUUGGGAACUGCGUUUGAAACUACAAGACUAGAAUAUGUCAGAGGGGGGUAGAAUUCCACGUGUAGCAGUGAAAUGCGUAGAGAUGUGGAGGAAUACCAAUGGCGAAGGCAGCCCCCUGGGAUAAUAUUGACGCUCAUGCACGAAAGCGUGGGAGCAAACAGGAUU